rnacentral:tRNA from 1 species
AUUCUUAUAGUGUAAGUUAGCACAUUAGAUUUUCAGUCUUUUAGUAUAUUAUAUAUUUAGAAUA